rnacentral:lncRNA from 1 species
GAGGUAUUAACCCCUGUUAUGACUGAUAUACAUGUGUACAUGUAUGUUCUAAAAUGGUAAAGAGUUAUGUUGCGUGACUAAAAUCUUUCGAUCUUUUUAUUCAGCAGAUAUGUCUGGUUAAGGCAGAGGUAUGUUUUUUUUAAAGAUUCUGCUUGCAAUAUUUCAUAAUCACACGCAUAAAGACAAAAACAAACAUAAACACCCUUACUUUGAACUUCGAAACUUUGUUUAUUUUAAUUGAAUUCUUAACCAAAUAAUUUUUAAACAUGUUGAAAUUGUGUCUAUGUUGUCUGAUGUAUUUCAAACUUGAUUGUGAAUUUCUUCUGAAUUUGUGAUUUGCAUUUGUUUUUAACGAUCUAAAGAAAUUCGCAAUUUAUAAUUUGAUUUUGAAAAAAAAACCUAAUGUUUCAAAGUCAAUGCAGGAAAAUACAAGCUUACUAUAUAUAAUUAUGUAAACCUCAGAUCUGUGUACGACCUCAAAUCUGUGUCCGUUUCUCAAAUAUAUGCCCCAUCGUGACGUCAAUCGCUAAUCUAUGUCCGUAAAAAAGAUUCGGCCUCAAAUCUGUGUCCGAUUUUCAAUCGUGACGUCAUUCGCAAAUCUGUGUCCGUUAAAAAGAUAAGGUCUCAAAUCUGUGUAAUGUGUUUUCCAAUUUGUGUCGCCAUGCGCAAAUUUAUGCCCGUCUACUAAAUUUGGCCUUAUAGGUUUUUUUUUAUUUUAUUAAGUAAUUGUCCAUAAUUCAAUAUUAAGUUGGUGUGUGUUCUCCAUGUAUGUGCAAGAGCUGAAGUUUAGUAUGCGUUUAAGAAAAUCCGCCUUAAUUAUUUAGCUGGUAUUUAUAAUAUUGUUUCAGUACGGUCCUAUAUGCUUUUUGUUUUAUCAAGUCAUUUUUCCAUGUGUGUGGUUAAAAUCUUAACCUGCGUGGGUUAUUAUUGUAUGCCGUCUUUAAGAAUGAAACUACACAUAUUUAUUUUACUAAAAAAGACAGCAAAGAAUGAAUAUUUGUUUGCAACUUCGACGUACUUCGUUUUGUCUUAUGAAUUUGUUCAUAUCGAUCAUUGACAUUUAUACCACUUUAUCUAUGUUUUUCCUUAAAUACUAGUAUCAAAAAAUCAUUCUCAAUUGAUAAAAAAAAAACGUUCUUUAUAUUUGAAAUAUUUGUGAAUCACAAUAGAACAUAUAUCAAUUGUUUGGUAUUAGCUGAUAUCUAUUUAGUUCAAAUGUAAAACUUGUAAUAAUGUCUUUAAUAACGAACAUAUUUCCCCGAGAAGAAUCAUUCUUUAUGUUUUGGCACAUUCCUUCUCUCCAGAAACCAGAUGUAAACACCGCAGUCUAGCUUUGUUCAUGGCUGGAUUUGUUUUGAAUUAUAAAUAUUCCCCAAUAGUAGUAGUAAGUAAAGAUAUUCUGAUAAUUGUCAGAAAACAUUUCAAGAGGAUAAAUCUCUAGUUGACGUUUUUGAAAAUAUUCCAUCAGUCUACUAUUCAUAACAGAUUUUCCUCCAGGUUAAAAAAAACCAAAGCAUAAAGCAAUUUUAAACCAUGUGUAUUAAUAGAUAAAAUGUAAACCUUGCUUUUGUCAUAUAAACCACUUCUUUAAUGUUUGUUCUGUGUGAGUUAAUGCUCCGUGUCAAAGGCCGUACUUACACCUGUAAUUGUUAACUUUUCAUUGUUUACUUGAUGACGUUUUGUUAUGUUUUACGUCAAUGCAAGGACAUAGAUUUAAGUAAAUAAAGGACAUAGAUGUGAGACAAUACAGGACAUAGAUUUGGAACGUCUAUGACGCAAUAUUAAAAAGGACAUAGAUUUGCGGAAAGGACAUAGAUUUGAGGCCGGACAUAGAUUUGAGGUUUACAUAUAUAAUCCAUAUCUAUAUCUAUUUACAAUAAUAAAAUGGUUGAUUAAUGUUCAGUGAAUAUCUAUUGUCUAUUAUGUAAUAUCAAUGACAAACAAAGCGUAUGGAAGAUUUAAUAUAUAUUUUCUCGACUUCUUUUAUUUGUUUACUCAAUUCAUGUAGGAGGUCAUUCAAUUAUAUAAAGAACACUUAAAAAUCUCUCUCUCUCUCUCUCUCUCUCUCUCUCUCUCUCUCUCUCUCUCUCUCUCUCUAUAUAUAUAUAUAUAUAUAUAUAUAUAUAUAUAUAUAUAUAUACAUACUCUAAUUCGAAUUUACUUGUAAUUUUGAUACGUUAUAAUAAUUUCUUAAAUACAGUGUGAGAAAAAAAGGUGUAACAAACACACCAAACUCCAAGGUUAACCUCAAGAGGGGAUAUUCAUUGAACCGGUCAAAAUCAAAGUUAAUAGAGUGACUGACAAUCAACUGUCAUAUUCUUGACCUUUACAGGCAUUUUCCAAAUUUAACAUCAACACAAUUUACUAUCAGCAUAUUUUAUAACAAACCAAUCUAAGAAAAACAACUACGACAGACAUGAACAAAUGACAACCAUAUAUACUAGACUUGCAAAUUAAGCAAGCAUAUGUUGCACCCAUACAGACAAAUAGUCUUAACAAUUUGAAUUUGUUUAUCUGGUUUAUGAUAAUUAACUGAUCAAUUCCUUACACAGACGAACCUAAAAGCGAUGAAAAUGCUAGGCCAAAUUUAUCCAAUUUUGGUCACAAUCAUAUCUCUAGAGUAUGUAGUUUAAAAAUAUGUCCUGAUGACCCGGCCAACCAAUCAAGAUGACUGCCAUGGUUAAUAAAAUAACAGAGGAGUAAAACGUGGCCACAAUCAUCGGGUGCCACAUGUGGAGCAGGAUCUCCCUACCCUUCCGGAGCACCUGAGAUCACCCCUAGUUUUUGGUGGGGUUCGUGUUGUUUAUUCUUUAGUUUUCUAUGUUGUGUCAUGUGUGCUGUUGUGUGUUUGUCUUUUUCAUUUUUAGCCAUGGCGUUGUCAGUUUGUUUUAGACUGAUGAAUUUGACUGUCUCUUUGGUAUCUUUCGUCCCUCUGUCAUCAUAAAGGUAUCUAGCUAACAAAAUGUGUCCAAUGACCCUGACUGUCAACCAACAUGGCAGACAUGGCUAAAAAUAGAACAUAGGGGUAAAAUACAAUAUUGGCUUAUAUCUCUUAAAUUAAAGCAAAAGUAUAACGAUUGCAUUCAUUUAUAUAUGCAUCAAUCGAAAAUAAAAAUAUAUCAAGUGAGCGACACAGGCUCAUUGGAGCCUCUAUUUUAUCGUUCAUAAAGAAAUAUCUUUGAGCGCAAUGACUAGAUAAAGUGUGAAAUCAAACACAAAAGGUUUUGAAUUUUGUAAGCCAGACGUCAGUUAUAAAGUGCAAUAUUUAUUUCAUACAUAUAUUACAGGAUCAUGGCCAGUAAUUUGAAUCUUUGUGAUAUCUGUGAUAAUCGUUUGAAUACCACACCUUCAGUAGUGUGGUGUUUCGAAUGUGAUAAAGGGUUGUGUGAAAAUUGUAAAAAACCUCACAGUAUUUCAAAGGAAACAGAAAACCAUGCAACAGUUUCUAUUGGAGAACAAGAUCGCGAGCUACCGACCGAUGUCCUGAGAAUUGCCAAUUUUUGUAAAACGCAUAACGACAUAUAUGAGUUCUUCUGUAAAACACAUGAUUGUCCAUGCUGUAAGAAAUGUUUAAAAUCUCACUUCAAUUGUAAAGACAUAAACGGCAUCAAUGAAGUCACACAAAAUGUCAAAACAUCAAACGCCUUUUAUGAACUCGAGCAAACAUUGAUGGAAGUUGUCGAGAAUAUCAAAAAAAUCAUUACUGAUCGAAAAGACAAUUUAAUACAUCUAGAAAAUACGAAAAAAGAAAUUGAAACAGAAAUGAAAGAACUACGUACAAUGAUAACUAAUCAUCUGGAUAAACUACAAGAUGAUUUGAUGAAAGAAUUGUUGACAACCGAACGGAAAGAAACUAGCAAAAUAGAGACGUUGUUAACCUCUCUACAAAAGAAAGAAAAUGAGAUCGCAAAAUUCCAAGUUAACCUUGCUGAUAUAAAACAGCAUGCAACGGAUCUUCAAGCCUUUUUGUCAAUGAAACAAAUGGAAAAAGAUAUUGCGAUCGAAGAAAAAUGGAUCCAUACUAUCACCAAAAAAGACAUCACGAAUCAAGUCAAUAUUUCAUGUAACAUGAACAUGUCUUUACAGGAAAUCAGAGCCAGCGUGCAGACGUUUGGGAAUAUCUAUGUCAGUUCUGAUCGAUGUAAGUUGUCUGUUCAGAAACGAAAGGACAGGCAAGCUCAGAUUAUGGUAGCUCUUACAACCAGAAAAAUCGACAACCUGACCUUGACACUGCAGAAAAGUAUCAAUACAAGUUUAUCAAUGGUUAGUGGUUGUUCUCUGCUUCCCGAUGGAAGGAUGGUUUUCUGUGGUUAUCACCUAGGCAUAAUUAGAGUAAUGAAACCAGAUGGAUCAAAAGAUUAUGAAAUAAACGACAUUGGUAGUACAUUUGAUGUGGUAUUUGUUGGGGAUGAUUCUAUUGCUGUUACAUCUGGUGAAUCAAAGAAGAUUAAUAUAAUCAACUUAACGACGCGCAAACGUACGAAAAUAAUCAAACUUUAUACAUUCAGUGAUGGAGUGGUAUACAAAAACGGACAUUUGAUUUAUUGUUGUCGGAACAAAGGACUAAAGAUGAUUAAUCCUAGAAAUGAAUCUAUUACCAAUGUUACAUAUAACAAACUUGCGGCCUUAUCGUACGUUACAACAUUCGGUGACAAGCUGUUCUACACAAAGUAUAAAAAUAACAGUGUCACAUGUUGUGAUAACCGUGGCAACAUACUGUGGUCCUUCAUGGAUACACGUAUUCUGACAUGUCCAUUCGGCAUAUCUGUAGACAAUGCUGGUAACGUGUUUGUUGUGGGACACACUUCACAGAACGUGAUCGUCAUCUCUGCUGAUGGUAAAAGCUGCAGACAAAUUCUCAGUGAAAAUGGAUUGGACAGACCUACCGUUUUGCACUAUGACACAUUUACCAAUAAAUUAUUAGUGGCAAAUUACAACAAUCAGGCCUUCGUGUAUGAUGUAAAAUGAUAUUUUUUUUGUAUAAAGUUAUCAUUAAAUUGAGAAUGAAAAUGGGUAUGUUUGCCUAACAUAACAUUGUAUUGUUCUUGAUAAAUAGUACUGAUUAAAUUUCAAAAG